UACGAAGGGGGCUAGCGUUGCUCGGAAUCACUGGGCGUAAAGCGCACGUAGGCGGCUUUUUAAGUCAGAGGUGAAAUCCUGGAGCUCAACUCCAGAACUGCCUUUGAUACUGGAGAGCUUGAGUCCGGGAGAGGUGAGUGGAACUGCGAGUGUAGAGGUGAAAUUCGUAGAUAUUCGCAAGAACACCAGUGGCGAAGGCGGCUCACUGGCCCGGUACUGACGCUGAGGUGCGAAAGCGUGGGGAACAAACAGG
rnacentral:rRNA from 1 species